UACGUAGGGUGCAAGCGUUGUCCGGAAUUAUUGGGCGUAAAGAGCUCGUAGGCGGCCUGUCGCGUCGGCUGUGAAAACCCGGGGCUCAACCCCGGGCCUGCAGUCGAUACGGGCAGGCUAGAGUCCGGCAGGGGAGACUGGAAUUCCUGGUGUAGCGGUGAAAUGCGCAGAUAUCAGGAGGAACACCGGUGGCGAAGGCGGGUCUCUGGGCCGGAACUGACGCUGAGAAGCGAAAGCGUGGGGAGCGAACAGG
rnacentral:rRNA from 1 species